rnacentral:rRNA from 1 species
CCUACGGGGGGCAGCAGUGGGGAAUAUUGGACAAUGGGGGGAACCCUGAUCCAGCCAUGCCGCGUGUGUGAAGAAGGCCCUCGGGUUGUAAAGCACUUUCAGUGAGGAAGAACGCCUGGUGGUUAAUACCCAUCAGGAAAGACAUCACUCACAGAAGAAGCACCGGCUAACUCCGUGCCAGCAGCCGCGGUAAUACGGAGGGUGCGAGCGUUAAUCGGAAUUACUGGGCGUAAAGCGAGCGUAGGUGGCUUGAUAAGCCGGUUGUGAAAGCCCCGGGCUCAACCUGGGAACGGCAUCCGGAACUGUCAAGCUAGAGUGCAGGAGAGGAGGGUAGAAUUCCCGGUGUAGCGGUGAAAUGCGUAGAGAUCGGGAGGAAUACCAGUGGCGAAGGCGGCCUUCUGGACUGACACUGACACUGAGGUGCGAAAGCGUGGGUAGCAAACAGGAUUAGAUACCCUUGUAGUC